GUCUACAGCCAUACUACCCUGAACUUGCCUGGUCUUGUCUGCUCUCGAAGCCAAACAGGCUCAGGCCUGGUUAAUACUUGGGUGGAGAAAAGCCCCUAUCCUGUACCCU
rnacentral:rRNA from 1 species